rnacentral:rRNA from 1 species
AGUGAACGCUGGCGGUAGGCCUAACACAUGCAAGUCGAACGGCAGCACAGGAGAGCUCGCUCUCUGGGUGGCGAGUGGCGGACGGGUGAGGAAUACAUCGGAAUCUACUCUGUCGUGGGGGAUAACGUAGGGAAGCUUACGCUAAUACCGCAUACGACCUACGGGUGAAAGCAGGGGAUCUUCGGACCUUGCGCGAUUGAAUGAGCCGAUGUCGGAUUAGCUAGUUGGCGGGGUAAAGGCCCACCAAGGCGACGAUCCGUAGCUGGUCUGAGGGGAGGAUCAGCCAUAGUGGGGCUGAGACGCAGUCCAGACUCCUGCGGGAGGCAGCAGUGGGGAAUAUUGGACGAUGGGCGCAAGCCUGAUCCAGCCAUAGCGCGUGGGUGAAGAAGGCCUUCGGGUUGUAAAGCCCUUUUGUUGGGAAAGAAAUCCAGCUGGCUAAUACCCGGUUGGGAUGACGGUACCCAAAGAAUAAGCACCGGCUAACUUCGUGCCAGCAGCCGCAGUAA